AACGAUCUAUAAACAUCAUCAUACCAUCGUAGAAUUAAGCAUCAUACAAUAAUUAACGUUUUUUAUUAGCUCGUUUGGAAGAAGACCACAACGUUUCUUUUCUCAGAUCUUCUGGAGCUUUUGUGUCCACAAACGGCUGCAAAAAAAAAGAGCAAAUUCGAAAAUAAUGUUACAACACCAGCAGGACCGAUAAUUCAUAUGUUAUUAAAUACUUAAAAUGUGGAGGCCAAGGUGGGAUGUCUCAUUCAACUAUACUCAGACCGGCCUUGAACACCAGUCUCAGCCUAAGCACAGUUUGUUUUGCUAUUGGGUUUCACCGAUGUUAAUUCCAGCUAGAAAAGUGUUUUGAUUAGUUCAUUAAUCCAUUAGCCUAAUGCUUUGAUUCGUGCUUUAGUGUCCCCUUCACAAUGAAUGCAGAUUGUGAAAAUAACUAGACAACAUUCAUGAAUCUUUCAUUCGAAACUAAGAAUCAGAAUGGAUGUUUAGAUCAAUUAACUGAAUCUCUAAUCUCUCAAUUAGUUAAAAUGUGUGAAGCUGAUUUGAUGUUGCAGAAGAAAGGUGGGGGGAGAUUAGAGAAUUACUUCGACUAGGAUAGAAUUUUGCCGGUGGAGUAGGCAUUUCUUGCGGCGGAUCUUCGGGAUUGAUUUAAGAUUUCUUCCGCCAUUGAUGGAAUUUCAGGUUUCUU
rnacentral:lncRNA from 1 species